rnacentral:rRNA from 1 species
CCGUGUCAGCAGCCGCGGUAAUACGUAGGGGGCGAGCGUUGUCCGAAUUUACUGGGCGUAAAGCGCGCGUAGGCGGACCUUUAAGUCAAGGGUGAAAUUCCAGGGCUCAACUCUGGAGCUGCCCUUGAAACUGGAGGACUUGAGGUAUGGAGAGGGAAGUGGAAUUCCUGGUGUAGCGGUGAAAUGCGUAGAUAUCAGGAGGAACACCCGUGGCGAAGGCGGCUUCCUGGCCAUAUCCUGACGCUGAGGUGCGAAAGCUAGGGGAGCGAACGGGAUUAGAUACCCCGGUAGUCCUAGCCGUAAACGAUGGAUACUAGGUGUUAGUGGUAUCGACCCCACUAGUGCCGCAGCUAACGCAAUAAGUAUCCCGCCUGGGGAGUACGGCCGCAAGGUUGAAACUUAAAGAAAUUGACGG